ACGGGGGCAGCAGGCGCGAAAACUUUACAAUGCGGGCAACCGUGAUAAGGAAACCCCGAGUGCCAGCACAGGCUGGCUGUCCACCAGUGUAAACAACUGGUGAAGAAAGGGCCGGGCAAGACCGGUGCCAGCCGCCGCGGUAAUACCGGCGGCUCGAGUGGUGGCCGCUUUUACUGGGCUUAAAGGGUCCGUAGCUGGAUUCACAAGUCCCUUGAGAAAUCUAUCGGCUUAACUGAUAGGCGUUCAGGGGAUACUGUGGUUCUAGGGACCGGGAGAGGUAAGAGGUACUGCCGGGGUAGGAGUGAAAUCCUGUAAUCCCGGUGGGACGACCUAUAGCGAAGGCAUCUUACCAGAACGGCUCCGACAGUGAGGGACGAAAGCUGGGGGAGCAAACCGGAUUAGAUACCCGGGUAGUCCCAGCUGUAAACGAUGCGCGUUAGGUGUGUCAGUGACCACGUGUCACUGAGGUGCCGAAGGGAAACCGUGGAACGCACCGCCUGGGAAGUACGGUCGCAAGGCUGAAACUUAAAGGAAUUGGCGGGGGAGCAC
rnacentral:rRNA from 1 species